rnacentral:rRNA from 1 species
CCUACGGGAGGCAGCAGUGGGGGAUAUUGCACAAUGGGGGGAACCCUGAUGCAGCGACGCCGCGUGGGUGAAGAAGCGCCUCGGCGCGUAAAGCCCUGUCAGCAGGGAAGAAAAUGACGGUACCUGAAGAAGAAGCCCCGGCUAACUACGUGCCAGCAGCCGCGGUAAUACGUAGGGGGAAAGCGUUAUCCGGAUUUACUGGGUGUAACGGGGGCGCAGACGGCGAUGCAAGCCAGGAGUGAAAGCCCGGGGCCCAACCCCGGGACUGCUCUUGGAACUGCGUGGCUGGAGUGCAGGAGGGGCAGGCGGAAUUCCUGGUGUAGCGGUGAAAUGCGUAGAUAUCAGGAGGAACACCGGUGGCGAAGGCGGCCUGCUGGACUGCAACUGACGUUGAGGCCCGAAAGCGUGGGGAGCAAACAGGAUUAGAUACCCCAGUAGUC